rnacentral:lncRNA from 1 species
GGGAGCCGUUGGCUGGGCUGCAGCCGUUGGGGAGAUUUGCUGAACACUUAAAACUUCAGAUGAAAUGGAUUGUAUCCGUUAGGUGUUCAUUGCCUCUAGAGAUGACACUCCAUGUUUCUCAGCAUGAAAAACCAAAGAGUUGGGGAUGUGGAAACGCGUGCCAGACAGUAAUGAGCUGAGAGGAUGACAGACACUUAUGAA